UCGGGAAUAUUGCGCAAUGGAGGAAACUCUGACGCAGUGACGCCGCGUGCAGGAAGAAGGUUUUCGGAUUGUAAACUGCUUUAGACAGGGAAGAAAAAGGACAGUACCUGUAGAAUAAGCUCCGGCUAACUACGUGCCAGCAGCCGCGGUAAUACGUAGGGAGCAAGCGUUAUCUGGAUUUAUUGGGUGUAAAGGGUGCGUAGACGGGAAAUUAAGUUAGUUGUGAAAUCCCUCGGCUCAACUGAGGAACUGCAACUAAAACUGAUAUUCUUGAGUGCUGGAGAGGAAAGUGGAAUUCCUAGUGUAGCGGUGAAAUGCGUAGAUAUUAGGAGGAACACCAGUGGCGAAGGCGACUUUCUGGACAGUAACUGACGUUGAGGCACGAAAGUGUGGGGAGCAAACA
rnacentral:rRNA from 1 species